rnacentral:lncRNA from 1 species
GGAGCAUCUUGGCUGCAGUUUCAGCAAUCACAACGUUUGAAUCCAUCUCUCAUAAUCUGGAUGAGGAUUCAUGGUACCACGGAUAUUUUUUAGACAGGUAUGGAGUGAGUUCCAAAUCAGAAACACACGUCUUUCCAGUUCACUUCGGAUGGUUACAUACCGCUAACUUUUGCAAGAAAUGUACUUUUGAAAAAUGGGAAAAACAGAAGAAAAAAAAGAAGAAGAAGAAGAAAAACAAUCUGGACAAGCAUUUAUGUUUUAAUGAUCCAGGAAGGCUGCAUUGCAGAGUCAAGCUGCA